AGCGGCGGAUGGGUGAGUAACACGUGGGGAACCUGCCCCUAAGUCUGGGAUACCAUUUGGAAACAGGUGCUAAUACCGGAUAAUAAAGCAGAUCGCAUGAUCAGCUUUUGAAAGGCGGCGUAAGCUGUCGCUAAGGGAUGGCCCCGCGGUGCAUUAGCUAGUUGGUAAGGUAACGGCUUACCAAGGCGACGAUGCAUAGCCGAGUUGAGAGACUGAUCGGCCACAUUGGGACUGAGACACGGCCCAAACUCCUACGGGAGGCAGCAGUAGGGAAUCUUCCACAAUGGACGCAAGUCUGAUGGAGCAACGCCGCGUGAGUGAAGAAGGUUUUCGGAUCGUAAAGCUCUGUUGUUGAUGAAGAAGGAUAGAGGUAGUAACUGGCCUUUAUUUGACGGUAAUCAACCAGAAAGUCACGGCUAACUACGUGCCAGCAGCCGCGGUAAUACGUAGGUGGCAAGCGUUGUCCGGAUUUAUUGGGCGUAAAGCGAGCGCAGGCGGAAAAAUAAGUCUAAUGUGAAAGCCCUCGGCUUAACCGAGGAACUGCAUCGGAAACUGUUUUUCUUGAGCGCAGAAGAGGAGAGUGGAACUCCAUGUGUAGCGGUGGAAUGCGUAGAUAUAUGGAAGAACACCAGUGGCGAAGGCGGCUCUCUGGUCUGCAACUGACGCUGAGGCUCGAAAGCAUGGGUAGCGAACAGGAUUAGAUACCCUGGUAGUCCAUGCCGUAAACGAUGAGUGCUAAGUGU
rnacentral:rRNA from 1 species